AGUGAACGCUGGCGGCGUGCCUAAUACAUGCAAGUCGAACGAAGUGGCGAAAGGGGGAGGAAGAGAGAGGUAAUCUGCCCUACACAGAGGAACAACAGUUGGAAACGACUGCUAAUACCGGAGAGUGUAGGAUGAGACUAGAUGGUAUCAGCUAGUUGGUAAGGUAAUGGCUUACCAAGGCUAUGACGCGUAACUGGUCUGAGAGGAUGAUCAGUCACAUUGGAACUGAGACACGGUCCAAACUCCUACGGGAGGCAGCAGUAAGGAAUAUUGCGCAAUGGGUGAAACCCUGACGCAGCAACGCCGCGUGGAGGAUGACCCUUUUCGGAGCGUAAACUCCUUUUAUCAGGCCCUCGGUACCUGAUGCUUCCGCUCCGUCUAACUCCGUGCCAGCAGCCGCGCUCCUCC
rnacentral:rRNA from 1 species